UGGUCAAGUUAUUAAGGGCGCAGGGCGGAUGCCUUGGCACUAAGAGCCGAUGAAGGACGCGAUAAGCUGCGAUAAGCUUCGGGGAGUUGCACGUAAACUUUGAUCCGAAGAUUUCCGAAUGAGGAAACUCACUUAGAGUAAUGUCUAAGUAUCAUUAAGUGAAUACAUAGCUUAAUGAGGGGAACCCGGGGAACUGAAACAUCUAAGUACCCGGAGGAAAAGAAAGAAAUUCGAUUCCGUAAGUAGCGGCGAGCGAACGCGGAAUAGCCCAAACCAGUGAAGUUUUCUUUGCUGGGGUUGCGGACACAUCAUCAACGAAGAGGUAUCGUAAACGAAGAGAGUUGGAAAGCUCCGCUAUAAAGUGUAAUAGCCACGUAGUUGAAACGAAACAAUAUCUAGUGUGAUCCAGAGUACCACGGGACACGUGAAACCCUGUGGGAAGCAGGAGGGACCAUCCUCCAAGGCUAAAUACUACUUAGUGACCGAUAGCGCAUAGUACCGUGAGGGAAAGGUGAAAAGAACCCCGGGAGGGGAGUGAAAUAGAACCUGAAACCCUGUGCUUACAAGCUGUGGGAGCACUUUAUAUGUGUGACCGCGUACUUUUUGUAGAACGGGCCAACGAGUUACGACAGUAAGCAAGGUUAAGUACUUAAGGUAUGGAGCCGUAGUGAAAGCGAGUCUUAAAUGGGCGUUAAGUUUUCUGUCGUAGACCCGAAACCGGGCGACCUACCCAUGAGCAGGAUGAAGCGAAAGUAAAAUUUCGUGGAGGUCCGAACCCACGAGCGUUGAAAAGCUCGGGGAUGACUUGUGGGUAGCGGUGAAAUUCCAAUCGAGCCCGGAGAUAGCUGGUUCUCCCCGAAAUAGCUUUAGGGCUAGCCUCAAGGUUGAGAAAUACGGAGGUAGAGCACUGAAUAUCCUAGGGGGCAUUGCGCUUACCGAAGAUUAUCAAACUCCGAAUGCCGUUAUUUUAUACUUGGGAGUCAGACUGUGGGUAAUAAGAUUCAUAGUCGAGAGGGCAACAGCCCAGAUCGUCAGCUAAGGUCCCUAAAUGUAAGUUAAGUGGUAAAGGAUGUGGGAUUGCAUAGACAACCAGGAUGUUGGCUUAGAAGCAGCCACUCAUUUAAAGAGUGCGUAAUAGCUCACUGGUCGAGUGAUCCUGCGCCGAAGAUUACCGGGGCUAAAACUUACUACCGAAGCUACGAUAUCAUUUAUGAUAGGUAGGGGAGCUUCCUAUGCAGGCUGAAGCAUGACCGUAAGGACAUGUGGACAGUAUAGGAGUGAGAAUGUUGGCAUGAGUAGCGAGACGUGGGUGAGAAUCCCACGGGCCGUAAACCCAAGGUUUCCAGGGGAAGGUUCGUCCGCCCUGGGUUAGUCGGGACCUAAGCCGAGGCCGAAAGGCGUAGGUGAUGGACAACAGGUUGAGAUUCCUGUACCACCGAUAAUCGCUUGAGAGAAGGAAUGACACAGUAGGAUAAGCUAACCACACUGUUGGUUAUGUGUGGCUAAGUACUGAGGCAGUCAAGGUAGGCAAAUCCGCCUUGAUAAUGCUGGGGUACGAUGGGGAGCGAAAUUAAGUAGCGAAGUAGCUGAUUUCACACUGUCGAGAAAAGUUUCUAUCGAGAUUAAAGGUGCCCGUACCGCAAACCGACACAGGUGGGUGAGGAGAGUAUCCUAAGGCCAGCGAGAGAACUGUUGUUAAGGAACUCGGCAAAAUGACCCCGUAACUUAGGGAGAAGGGGUGCCACGUUAGGGUUAACGCCCGAGGUGGCCGCAGAGAAUAGGCCCAAGCGACUGUUUACCAAAAACACAGGUUUCUGCUAAAGCGUAAGCUGAUGUAUAGGGGCUGACGCCUGCCCGGUGCUGGAAGGUUAAGGGGAACACUUAGCGCAAGCGAAGGUGUGAACUUAAGCCCCAGUAAACGGCGGCCGUAACUAUAACGGUCCUAAGG
rnacentral:rRNA from 1 species